rnacentral:rRNA from 1 species
CGGGUGGUAAUGCCGGAUGUUCCACAUGAUCGCAUGUGAUUGUGGGAAAGAUUUCAUCGGCGUGGGAUGGGGUCGCGUCCUAUCAGCUUGUUGGUGAGGUAACGGCUCACCAAGGCUUCGACGGGUAGCCGGCCUGAGAGGGCGACCGGCCACAUUGGGACUGAGAUACGGCCCAGACUCCUACGGGAGGCAGCAGUGGGGAAUAUUGCACAAUGGGCGCAAGCCUGAUGCAGCGACGCCGCGUGAGGGAUGGAGGCCUUCGGGUUGUAAACCUCUUUUGUUUGGGAGCAAGCCUUCGGGUGAGUGUACCUUUCGAAUAAGCGCCGGCUAACUACGUGCCAGCAGCCGCGGUAAUACGUAGGGCGCAAGCGUUAUCCGGAUUUAUUGGGCGUAAAGGGCUCGUAGGCGGCUCGUCGCGUCCGGUGUGAAAGUCCAUCGCUUAACGGUGGAUCUGCGCCGGGUACGGGCGGGCUGGAGUGCGGUAGGGGAGACUGGAAUUCCCGGUGUAACGGUGGAAUGUGUAGAUA